AUACACACUAGAAAUCAAUCAAUCAAGAUCAACGGCAGUCAACUUCACACGUCCGAUUUCAGGUCAGUCUUAUUUCCGUCAACACAUCGCCAUCAGCUUCCAUGAUAAAAUCAUCGUUGUCCAAAACCCAUGCAAGAUCAACGGUCGUGAUCAUAAGUGUGCAAACUUUCAUGUUCACUGCUACACCAAUCUCUUAUUCCUCUUCAGUGUUCAGUCACUGGGUGAGUUUUCUACGUUUCUUUCUCUCUCCAAUAACCAGAAAAGAACAAAUGAAAUAGCAGAGAAAGUCCAUUCUUUGAUUAUUUCUUCCUUCUCGUACUUACUUCUUCGUCCAGAGACAAGCAUUUGAGUUAGUAGUGAUACAGAGAGAUAGAGGGGGAGAGAGAGAUGGAGGAGAGGCCAGAGACGGAGCUCAUAUCCAUUCCGGCGACUCCCCGUGCCUCGACGCCGGAGAUUCUAACGCCGUCAGGUCAGCGAUCGCCGAGGCCUCCUUCGAAGGAAGCGAAAUCGUCGAAUGCUUGGACACCAACGUCGUUCAUAUCGCCGAGGUUUUUGAGCCCCAUAGGGACGCCGAUGAAGAGGGUUUUGAUAAACAUGAAGGGAUAUUUGGAGGAGGUGGGGCACCUCACCAAGCUCAACCCACAAGAUGCUUGGCUACCCAUUACCGAGUCUCGCAAUGGCAACGCUCAUUACGCCGCGUUUCAUAAUCUAAAUGCUGGUGUUGGGUUUCAGGCCCUGGUUUUGCCUGUUGCCUUCGCUUUCCUUGGAUGGAGUUGGGGAAUAUUGUCCUUGACCAUAGCCUACUGUUGGCAACUUUAUACCUUGUGGGUUUUAGUUCAGUUACAUGAAGCUGUUCCUGGGAAGAGGUACAACAGAUACGUCGAGCUCGCACAAGCUGCAUUCGGGGAAAGGUUAGGCGUUUGGCUUGCUCUCUUUCCAACCGUUUAUUUGUCAGCUGGAACUGCAACAGCUUUGAUUCUUAUAGGAGGAGAGACGAUGAAACUCUUCUUCCAAAUAGUUUGUGGGCCUCUCUGUUCGUCGAAUCCCCUAACAACGGUUGAGUGGUACCUGGUAUUCACUUCUCUGUGCAUUGUACUGUCUCAGCUCCCAAACCUUAAUUCAAUUGCAGGACUUUCCCUUGUUGGUGCCAUAACAGCAAUAACAUAUUCCACCAUGGUGUGGGUGCUAUCUAUUAGUCAACAAAGGCCACCUUCAAUUUCCUAUGAACCCAUUUUUUUGCCAUCCUCUGCUGCUUCUGUCUUUUCAGUAUUGAAUGCGCUUGGAAUUGUAGCCUUUGCUUUCAGAGGGCAUAAUCUAGUCCUUGAGAUUCAGGCGACAAUGCCAUCGACCUUUAAGCACCCAGCUCACGUACCCAUGUGGAAAGGCGCCAAAGUUGCUUAUUUCUUCAUUGCCAUGUGCCUUUUCCCUAUUGCCGUUGGAGGCUUUUGGGCUUAUGGAAAUCUUAUGCCUUCAGGGGGAAUUCUCAAUGCUUUAUAUGGUUUCCACAGCCAUGAUAUUCCUCGAGGACUUCUGGCAUUGACUUUUCUGCUAGUUGUGUUCAAUUGCUUAAGCAGUUUCCAGAUAUAUUCAAUGCCUGUUUUUGACAGUUUUGAAGCUAGCUACAUCAGCCGUACCAACCGUCCAUGCUCAAUCUGGGUUCGGUCAGGAUUUCGGGUUUUCUAUGGGUUCGUCUCUUUCUUCAUAGGGGUUGCACUUCCUUUCCUAUCUAGUUUAGCUGGUUUACUGGGGGGACUUACCCUUCCAGUCACAUUUGCAUACCCUUGCUUCAUGUGGGUUCUCAUUAAAAGACCUACAAAGUACAGCUUCAAUUGGUAUUUCAACUGGAUCCUGGGUUGGUUGGGUAUUGCAUUUAGCUUGGCCUUUUCCAUUGGAGGCGUUUGGAGUAUCGUGAACAAUGGUCUGAGAUUAAAAUUCUUCAAGCCGCCGAAUUAGGAAGCAGCAAGCUUUUGAAUACUGUCGAUCAAUUAAUUUUGUAUGCUGUCUAUGUAUUUGCUUGAGGAAUCAAACACUCAUGUAUGCAUGUGUUUACUGUUUACAUAACCUGUCUUUCCUUUUUUGGUCUUAAAGAAUCAGCGUUGGAAUUUGUUAUCGAGAUAUGUAGAGUUGAUGGUCUUUAUGUUAUAAGUGUACCUGGGAUCAUGCCGCUUUUUCGUCUUUCUCAUGCAUAAGAAGAACACUAUUUUCCUGAAAAUUUUGUCAAGAAUUGCGGCAAUGAACUAUUUCUGUAAAAUGCAAAUGCAAGUUCUUGUGGGAAGAGGCUUAUGGGCCUGGUAUGCAUAAUGGGG
rnacentral:misc_RNA from 1 species